UUCCAUUCGAACACCAAACAAGCAUUCUAGGAAUGUCAAAGAAAGAAAUAGGAGCAUGCUUUCUGGAACUCAGCUGAGCCAUGGAGGCAAGGUGAAAAAACAGUUGAAGUAUGAUGGAGAUUAUUUGGCUCCAUUGACUCCUUCUGUUGUGAAGUCUUCUCUCUAUAGCUGCAUUGAUAUCAGUGACAAUGAGGAUCAACCUCAUGGAGUUGAUGUCCCUGAUGAAAGUGAUGAAGAUUCAAGUGGAAAAAAUGAAAUGUCACUUAUUAUUAAACGAACCCCAAGAAAGAGAAAGGCAUUGAAUGUGGUCUAUAGUGAUGGUGAAGAUGACGAUAAUUCAGAGAAACUAACUGAUGAUGUGGAAGAUUCUUCUGAAGAUGAACUUAGAAAACAAACACAGAAAAGAAGAAGACGGCUGGUUUCAUUGAGUAAUCAACAACACCGGAAAUAUGAUCCUGAAAUUUCUAUUAACGAGUCUUCUGAAGAUCAAGAAGAGGAAAGCACAACUAGGUCCGAUGAUGACAACAAAUAUGCUUCUUCCAUUCCAAGUUGUUCGACCGAGUCAAGAGAAGUAUCAGACAAUGAUGAUGAUGAUGUUGAAGAGUAUAAGAGUAAUUACGAUUGGCAAUUUGAGGGUGAAAUGCUUGCUGUAUUCGGUAAGGAUGUUAAGAUGUGCAUGAGGGCAGUUUGUGCACUCUAUAGGCAGCAGACCUUAGAUGAGAAAACAAGCAAGGGAACAAUAUAUCAUAAUGGACGAGGUUUUAGCAAGUUCGAUGCAUCAAGGGGUACCAAUUUGGCAGAGUUUCUUACAGGGGGUGAUCCAGAAGGUGAUCUGACCAAAAAGGUGGAGGAGCUAAAAGAGUUCAAUACAGAGGCACCUGAUUUGUGCGUAACUCUGGCAUUCCGCUACUCUAAUCAAUUAUUCAGAAUCUACAAGAAUAAAGAAGAUCCCUUUUUCCUCCCCUCCUGAAUCCCUAUACAAAUCUUCUUCGAAGAUUGAGGUCCUUGAGGCCUGAAGAAAUUGAAGAUGCUAGAGAGAAGUCGAAAUGUGAAAUUAGAAUUUGAAUUUUGAACAGAAGAGAACAAAAGAAGGAUGAAAUUGAGAAGGUGCAGAACAUGUGGGAAGGACCCUACUACAUUACAACAACAUGGGCAGGCACUGUUUCUGAGCCAUCUAUAAUUGCUGUCUAUUAACUCAAAGCCUUUGCUCCAAAAGUAUCAAUCUGAUCUCUCUUUCUCUCUCUGUCUUUCUGUCUGUCUGCAACUCUGGUGGAGGGAGGGAGGAGAAGGUUGAGAAAAUGGA